rnacentral:rRNA from 1 species
AUGGUCGCGCUCGCGCAGCCACCUUCCGCGGUCAAGGGACCCAAAGGAGAGGCGGAGAGGAAACAGAGCGACGCACAGGGAAGAGGAGGAAACGGCGGCGGCGGCGGUGCAGGUGGCGGGGGUGGAGGUAGAGGGAAGAAGCGGAAGAACAAGGAGGUUUUCAUCUACGGAAACUACAGGAACUACUACGGCUACCGAAUUGAUCGUAACGUUGGUGAAGAUCCCCGCCUUGAGAUAUUCAAGAAGGAGUGGUUUGCAGGCAAGGAUUGUCUCGAUAUUGGAUGCAACCAAGGUUUGGUCACAAUCGGUCUAGCGAUGAAGUUUGUGUGUCGAAGCAUCCUUGGAGUUGACAUCGAUAAAGGUUUGAUUGAAACUGCUAACUGGAAUUUAAGAAGGAUAUCUCGAACAGGCAACGUGGCUCCGGAAAGUGCCAAGGUUCAUAACUCAUCAGACUCCACAACUCAUAGCUGUCGAGAAGAAGUGGUAUCUGAGAUGCCAAAUGGAAAUAUUUCUAAACACGAGCAACCUGAUCUUUUUGAAAUUAUCUCUUUUCGGUCUGAAAAUUUUGUCCAGAGCACACACAGAUAUACAGAACGGUAUGACACCAUCAUGUGUUUGAGCGUGACAAAAUGGAUCCAUCUGAACUGGGGUGAUGAUGGCAUAACCACUCUGUUUGUGAAGAUAUGGAGUCUUCUAAGACCGGGAGGGAUUUUUAUCAUGGAACCUCAACCUUGGACCUCGUAUAGGAAAAACAGAUUAGUGUCAGAGGUUGCCAAAGAAAACUUCAAUGAUAUCUGUAUAUAUCCUGAGAAAUUCCGGGAGAUACUUCUGGACAAGGUAGGAUUCAGGUCAGCAGAGGUGAUUACCAACAGAUUGGUUGGUUCUGUCGCUGGUUUUGAUCGCCCAAUUGAAGUUUACUACAAAUGA